rnacentral:lncRNA from 1 species
CUCUGCGUCUGGAGAACACAGGACGUCCACAGGAAAGUUCUCCCUCCUGCACUCCCGGCUGGCUCUGAAAAUUAUGAAGUAAGUUGAAUGCUCUGAGGGCUUAAUUCCAUCUGCCCAACUUUUACAUAAAACAAGGAAGUUGAGCCCAGUUUAGGGGAAGAAUGUACAGAGCACCAGGAGGCAGGGUCUCCUCUGAAGUCUUUUUUUGGACCGAAUCUCACUCUGGCCCAGGCUGGAGUGGAAUGGCAUGAUCUCGGCUCACUGCAGCCUCCACCUUCCGAGCUGAAGCAAUUCUUGUGCCUCAGCCUCCUGAGGAGCUGGAAUGACAGGCAUGCGCUACCAUGCCCGGCUAAUUUUUAUAUUUCUAGUAGAGAUGGGGUUUCACCAUGUUGGCCAGGGUGGUCUCGAACUCCUGACCUCAGGUGAUCCACCCACCUCAGCCUCCCAAAGUGCUGGGAUUACAGGCGUGAGCCACUGCGCCCGGCCUCUCCUCUGAAGUCUUAUUGCCUACGUUUUUUUUUUUUUUUUAACAAUUAGGCAUUGUAUUUUAUAUUCUUUUCUUUCCCUAGUGCACUGACUACUUAUUUUAUUUAUUUUUUUGUUAUUGUUGUUGUUUUUUAAGACAGAGUCCCACUCUGUUUCCCAGGCUGGAGUGCAGUGGGGCAAUCUCGGCUCACUGCAACCUCUGCCUCCCAGGUUCAAGUAAUUCUCCUGCCUCAGCCUCACAAGCAGCUGGGAUUACAGGUGCCUGCCACCAAGCCCGGCUAAUUUUUGUAUUUUUAGUAGAGACGGGGUUUUGCCAUGUUGGUCAGGCUGGUCUUGAACUCCUGACCUCAAGGGAUCUGCCCACCUUGGCCUCCCAAAGUGCUGGGAUUACAGGCGUGAGCCACCACGCCCUGCCUGUUUGUUUUUUAAUUGACAAACGUGGUACAUAUUUAUGGUACAUGGCACGUUAUGGUCUAUGUGGACAUUCGGGAACAGCUACGUCGAGCCAGUUCAUACCUACAUCACCUCCCGUGCUUACCUUUGUGGUGAUGAGAAAGACUCUCUCGGAAAUUUUCAAGAGCACAGUGCCUUUAUUCACUCAAGUCGCUGGGUGUCCCAUAGAUCUUGGCACCGACUCCUCAACUGAAACUUUGUGUCCCAUAGAUCUUGCACUGACUCCUCAACUGAAACUUUGUGUCCCAUAGAUAUUGCACCCACUCCUCAACUGAAACUUUGUGGCCUUCCGCCAACAUCUGGCCACCCCGCCCCGCCCACCCCUGGGAGCAACUGCCCCACUUUCUGCUUCUAAGCUCCACUAUUUCACACUCCACAUAUGAGUGAGAGCAUGUGGGAUUUGUCUUUCUGUGCCUGGCCUAUUUUACUUAAGAUUGUGACCUUAGGCCAGGCGCAGUGGCUCACGCCUUUAAUCCCAGCACUUUGGGAGGCCGAGGCAGGAGGAUCACCUAAGGUCAGGAGUUUGAGACCGGCCUAGCCAACAUGGUGAAACCCCAUCUGUACUUAAAAAAGUACUAAAAAAUUAGCCGGGUGUGGUGGCGGGCCCCUGUAGUCCCAGCUGCUCAGGAGGCUGAGGCAGGAGAAUUGCUUGAACCGGGAGGCAGAGGCUGCAGUGAGCCGAGAUUGUACCACUGCACUCCAGCCUGGGCGACAGAGUGAGACUCUGGCUCAAAAAAAAAAGAUUGUGACCUCCAAGUUCACACAUGUGAUCACAAGUGACAGGUCUCCUUGCUGAAGGGUGAACAGUGCCCCGCUGUGUGUAUCCGCCACACUUAUUCAUCCAUGCAUGCACUAACUUUGUUUCUUGGCUAUUAUGAACAGCGUGCGACGCCCGUGGCCUGCAGCUAUCUCUUAGACACAUCGAUUUCAUUUCCGUUAGGUCUAUACCCAGAAGAGGGAUUGCUGGGUUACAUGCAAUGUUUAAUGUUUUGAGGAACCUCCACACUGCUGUGCCACUUUAGCCAUUUUUAGGUGUCCCUCAGGGGAAUUCUAUUCACAAUAGGGUGCGAUCACCACCACUAUCUAUGUCCAAAACUUGUUCAUGCUCCCAGAGUGAAACUCCACGCACCUCAGGUGUGUGUCCCCGUUCUCUCCUCCUGCGGUCCUUGGUAACCACUAAGCUGCUUCCUGUCUCUAUGGCCCUGCCCGCUGUGGACAUCUCUUGUCAAUGGAAUCACUCAGGGCUCGUCCAUGCCGCAGCUCCUGCCAGGGUGUCAUUCCAUUUUUUUUUUUUUUUUUUUUUUUUGAGAUGGAGUCUUGCUCUGUCGCCCAGGCUGGAGCACAGUGGCGUGAUCUCGGCUCACUGCAACCUCCACCUCCCGGGUUCAAGCAAUUCUCAUGCCUCAGCCUCCCAGGUAGCUGGGAUUACAGGUGCGAGCCACCAUGCCCAGCUAAUUUUUGUAUUUUUAGUAAAGACAGGGUUUCACCAUGUAGGUCAGGCUGGUCUUGAACUGCUGACCUCAGGAGAUCCGCCCGCCUCGGC